UACGGAGAAAGCUCACGAAUCGAAUGCAACCUACUUGGGUACCUCGUCAACCUGGUCGCAAGAAAAGACAUAAAGAAUUCAACACCGAUUAAAGGUGAUGGUGGACUAAAUUGAAUCUUCUAAACCUACAACAGUACAGGCUGAAUCGAAUUAAGAUAGAUCCAGAAUUGUCACAGUCCUUUGGCGCUUCUGUUAUAUUCUCAGCCUCGUUCAUAUCUCUCAGAGCCGACACCAGUACAUACCUGAGCGAGCAAAUAUAUCAAUAACUGAAAAUAAUCAAGAACUGAUUAUAUUGCAACAGACCCAACAGACCUUCGGGAGCAUUGGACGCUUCCAAUGCCUGUUCUGUAACAAUCCAGACGUAUCCACCACCUGUCAUAUUCAAAUACGCGGCAUCUCGGAAGAUUACUCCUGCAUCGGUUGUCCUGGAUGAAGAACGACAAUCAUUUAGUUAACCGAUUAUUACUAGACAUUCAACAGACCGUAACAGUUUGUAAAUAUCUUCAUUCAAAUUCGCUGUUUGAUACUCACGUAGCGUACAUGAGGUAAACGCGAGCCUGGGCAUUCUUCAUGUCCAUCAGUUGUUCUGUAAAGUUCUUCAGACCUGGCUCAAACUCUAUCACGGACUCUACCUGUUUUGGGGAAACUAUCGCUUAGAGGAUGCUUGUCAACUUUCGCCUAAUCCAUGCCAGAGGGCUAUAAUUGUUCAAAUUAUUUUUGAUCGCACAGAUUUACACGCAAAUAAUUCAAGUUCAUCGGCUCUACAUACGCCCAUACACCCUCGUACAUCAAUUAUACAAUCUCACGGGGGUGUGGAUCAUCCUUACUUUAGCAGCAUUCAUUCAAUUUUCUGAUAGACAAAUUAUAAAACGGAAUUCAUUCCAUGAGGAAAUAACACCAUUAUCUAUUUUUAUUCAUUGUUUAUGGUGGAUAAUUUAUGGAUUUUAUACUCACCCAGCCUAUUAGAGUGUUGUAUUAAUUAUUAGGUUUAAAAGACAUCAAGUUAAGGAGCAAUGUAAGAUAUGGGGUUGCACGAGGACUAAAUAGAAUAGAAUAGCAUUUAAAAGCUAAUGGAUGCAAGAGCUAUAUCUACAGAAAUAAAAAUAGAUGAAAAAUCA